UCUGGAUGUUCAAUGAUAGCACUCCUCCAUACUGGAGCAGCAAAGUUUCCCCAAAACUUACUUCCAAGGGCAAGACAAGCUGUGUGCUCCCUCCUCCCGGCUGGUGUUCUCAAAGGGUACGGCUCCAUCGUAAGCAGGAAACUGGCGUCCCACGGCUUUGGAGCUUCCAUGGCAGCAAUGUCAUCCUUCCCUCCACAGAGAUAUCACUACUUCUUAGUGCUGGAUUUUGAGGCCACGUGUGAUAAACCACAGAUUCAUCCUCAGGUAAAUAGUCAAUCCUGUUAAUUAUCCCUCUGCUGCUGUUCUGAGAGGUG